GCCUGAUACACAAUCCACGCGGGUUGUUCUUCUCUCUCCUGUUGCUGUGAUCUCUUUAUAUCUUACGAAACCCAAUGAAGUUUCUGAAGACUUUCAUAUCACAUGAUGAACUUAAUACCAUGUGAUAGAUCAGAAAGUGAAAAAAAAUAGAUAGAUAAAUAAAUAAAAAUACGAGAAAAAAAAGGAACAUUUAUCCACGUGGUUUUCGAUACUGCAAUAUCACUGUGAUUGAGACCCCGUGUUGCAGCGUUACGCUUCAUUAAAGAGAUCCUUUGAAAUCCACAACGAAAACAACAACAACAAACCGAGAAGGAAACAGGAAUUGAGAAAAACACAAGAAUAACGCGAAGAACACCUUAGACCAACCCUGGUGCAACGACAGAUACAACAUGAUGGCACUCUCCGUCAGAGCAGCCGAGAGGAGCGGUGCCCGACGAGCGGUGGGCGGAGCCAAGCUGAAUGAAGCCACUCCUACCUCUGCCACGACGACGCACACACGCCCAUCGUCUCCGCACAAGCCCCGCCCACACCUGAGGGGGAAACGCCCAUCCAUGACCCUUAUGUUAACCCAUGUGGUGGUGUUGACCCUCAUGGCACUCUCAGCGGCGCUUGAAGUGGAUGCCACGGAGGGUGAGUCAACAGAGUUCGUUUUUGCUUAUUU
rnacentral:lncRNA from 1 species